rnacentral:sRNA from 1 species
GCCUGGCGCGGUGGUGCAUGCCUGUAAUCCCAGCUGCUCAGGAGGCUGAGGCAGGAGGAUCAAGAGUUCAAAGCCAGGCUCAGUAACUUAGCGAGGCACUAAGCAACUCAGUGAGACCCUGUUUCUA